rnacentral:snoRNA from 1 species
UAGACUGUGCUUUACAGGAUCAUUUGUACAGUGCACGUCUCUUUUUUGUUCACAAACUGAACACCCAAAAACCAGGAUGAAGAAAGACGACACCUGCAUCAGUGGGAAAUCCCCAUCCUCGGAUGGUUGAUGACCGUGCCUCGGCAUGAUGCAGGUGUGAUCUGACUGGU